UACAGAGGGGGCAAGCGUUGUUCGGAAUUACUGGGCGUAAAGGGCGCGUAGGCGGCCUCUUAAGUCGAACGUGAAAUCCCCGGGCUCAACCCGGGAACUGCGUCCGAUACUGGGAGGCUUGAAUCCGGGAGAGGGAUGUGGAAUUCCAGGUGUAGCGGUGAAAUGCGUAGAUAUCUGGAGGAACACCGGUGGCGAAGGCGGCAUCCUGGACCGGUAGUGACGCUGAGGCGCGAAAGCUAGGGGAGCAAACGGG
rnacentral:rRNA from 1 species